rnacentral:lncRNA from 1 species
CUGCGGAACCCCUGUUGGAGGUUCCACAGGGCUGAAAAGUAACACCCUCCGGGAGCGACCAUCCAAGUAGGACUGGAACCACCGCAAAUUGGUGCCACUUACUCCUAGUUCAGAGAGUUGCUCCAGAAGGAUACUGUGGUCGAUGGCAUCGAAAGCCGCUGAGAGGUCGAGAAGAAUUAACAGGGACAUGUUUCCCUUGUCUCUCUCUUGACAGGUCAUCACACAGGGUGACCAAGGCAGUUUCUGUGCCAAAACCAGGCCUAAACCCUGGUUGAAAUGGAUCCAGAAAAUCAGCUUCUUCCAAGAACACUUGGAUCUGGUCUGCGACCAUUCGCUCCAGAACUUCACUCCAGAAGUUAGAAAAACCAAGAUUGGGAAGAUUUUAACAUAGGUAAGACUUAGAAGUGAGAAGGGUAGGUGGAUCCAGGGGGGAAGAAGGCUGUGCAUGUGAUAAAGAGCAAAGCAGAGGGGGAGAAGACAACAUAGUUCCUUUUAAUUUCAUGUUAUCUCAGGUUGCCUUGUUGACAAAAACGCUUUGCAGCCAUUUUGUGAUAGGUUCUUGGGGACUAUAGAUAAGCUCCUUUGCUAAUGGGCAGAACUUCAUUUUAUUUAUAAUGUGGCUUCCAAGGAAUAGAAUAACAAACCCUCUUGAGCAGCUGGCUUAAAAGUGGUGGCAUUUGGCAUGUGAAGCUAGGAAGAGGCAUUAAUAUUAUUGUUAUUGUUAUUAUUAAUACCCCACCCUUUUCCCUGAUGGGAAUCAAGGCAACUGACAAGCCACUUCAGAUUGGUGAAGUUAGAACAGAAUGAAAGCACAAAAAGAGAAAUAACUAUUGAAAAGAAAAGCUUUGGAAGUCACUAGGAUCAAGAAUUGGUUCUGGGGCAAGCAAGAAAAGGAGGAAAUAACUGAGAAAGCCAAAAGAAGCAGCAGCAAAAAGCAACCAACUAAAGGUGAGAGUAUUAUACCUAAUUGUAGUUACUGGGCAACUGCAGAAGAGGCUUACCAAAAUAUUGUUGAGUUUUUAUUCCUUCAGAUGUGUAUAAAUCCAGAAGGUUCCAAGCAUGGUUUGGAUCCUCACCAGUACUUCUGCUCCCAAGGUAAUACAUUUAGAAGAGCCAUUUUAAAAUCUGAUGCCUCAAACUGCUUCCUUUAUCUUAUAACAGUUGCCUUGCUGAUUUCAGUGUGAAAAAAACAAAUAAUGCAUUUUGAGGAUGAACCUACUGAUAGCAAUGGUAGAGGCGGCUUGGUAGAGGCAUUAGAGUGAGUAUCUAGAUUCUAGAGGUUUUCACCAUAUUUUCGGCCAUUUGUAAGCAAAACUACAAACAUGUAAAGUCCAGCAAACGUUUAAGCACCUACAAAUUCAUAAUUAGUAGGAAUGAGCCGUGACCAUUUUUUCCUGUACAUAAAGGGCAGAAAACUUUGUCUGCUAAUGGUAAGGCUGAAAUAUUUGAAACUCUCUGGCCAUUUUCACUCAUACAUAAGAGGGUGGCUGAACGUUCCACUAAUGACCGGAGGGGUGUGGUGGGGCUCACAAGAUAAGGCUGAAAUGACUGAGAAGUUAUUGAAAGCUUAGGAAUCCUGACUGGCCAUUUUCACUCGUAAAUAAGAGGGUGGCUGAUUGUUCCACUAAUGACCAAAUGGGGCACACAAAAUAAUAACAACCCACAUUUGUGAAACAUUUUGGAAUAGAGAUCUGUACCUCUAUAUCCUGUAGAUAAAGGAGGAAUGUAGCUCCCAAUUUUCUUUGCCUGGGGUGCAAAUAUUUGAAACUCUCUGGCCAUUUUCACUCAUACAUAAGAUGGUGGCUGAACGUUCCACUAAUGACCAGCGAGGUGUGGUGGGGCACACAAGAUAAGGCAGAAUUGACUGAGAAGUUAUUGAAAGCUUAGGAAUCCUGACUGGCCAUUUUCACUCCUAAAUAAGAGGGUGUCUGAUUGUUCCACUAAUGACCAGAUGGGGCACGCAAAAUCACAACAACCCACAUUUAUGAAACAUUUUGGAAUAGAGAUCUGUACCCCUAUAUCCUGUAGAUAAAGGAGGCAUGUAGCUCCCAAUUUUUUUUGCCUGGGGUGCAAAUAUUUGAAACUCUCUGGCCAUUUUCACUCAUACAUAAGAGGGUGGCUGAACGUUCCACUAAUGACCAGAGGGGUGUGGUGGGGCUCACAAGAUAAGGCCGAAUUGACAGAAGUUAUUGAAAGCUUAGGAAUCCUGACUGGCCAUUUUCACUCGUAAAUAAGAGGGUGGCUUAUUGUUCCACUAAUGACCAGAUGGGGCACACAAAAUCACAACAACCCACAUUUGUGAAACAUUUUGGAAUAGAGAUCUGUACCCCUAUAUCCUGUAGAUAAAGGAGGCAUGUAGCUCCCAAUUUUCUUUGCCUGGGGUGCAAAUAAUUGAAACUCUCUGGCCAUUUUCACUCAUACAUAAGAGGGUGGCUGAACAUUCCACUAAUGACCAGAGAGGUGUGGUGGGGCACACAAGAUUUUUUUUUUAAAAAAAAAUCUUUAUUACUUUUAAAACUUACAAGAAAAGAAAAAGGAAGAAAAUGGGCGAAAGAAAAAGACAAAAUAGAACAGAGGAAAAAAAGAGAGAGAAAAGAAAAAACAAUACAAUAAACAAUACAAAACACAACCUUAACACAUUAACCUAAACAAAGCAAAAGAACAACAAUUUAAAAACAUAUACCAUACCAUUUCAUUACUCUAUCUUUCAUUCCCUUAUUUCAUCGACCUCCUCUCACCUCCCUUUUGUAUUCCACUUCUAUUACUUGUUUCAGCAAUUCCUUUCCAUCUUUCUCUAUUUUUAUCAUUAUGAAUAUCUUAACAUAUUUUAUACCUUACUUUCCAUUAAUACUGAAAUACUUAUUUAUACCUAACUCCUUAUAACAUUUCUGCUAAAGCCAUAAAAUUUCAUUCCAACAAUUUUCUAACACUCAUUAAAUUUACAAUAUUUCUAUAUAUAAACUUUAAACUUUCCCAAUCUUCUACCACCAUCUCUUCUCCCUGGUCUCGGAUUCUGCCAGUCAUUUCCGUCCAUUCCAUAUAGUUCAUCAACCUGGAGAUCUUCUGUCCGAAGCUCUUAAAUCUUUUCCAAGUCCCGUCUGCAGUUUUUCUUCAUAUUCUUUGAUACUGAGGGUGCUGAAGCGCAAGUCUUGGGGGGGGGGGCCCAAUCCAACCAUGCCCCUAUUCCCUCUCGACAGACCAACCAACUCUCCACAGCUAAAACCAGUGUCCAUACAAUGUCCCAAAUCAUGUUUCAAGGCUCCUCCAGAUCCAAAGGCCCCCACAACUCCAAUCACCUCCUGACCCAGAUUCAGGACCCAAAGGUCAGUAAAUCUCUGCUUGAAAGAGUCUAUCCAACCUUCCUUCUUCAAUCCAAGCAGGGCUCCAGUCUUCAAAUUCUGACUUUUUCUAUAUUCAUUCAUAAAAGGCCUCCACUUAUAAUCCUCAGUUUGCCUCUGUAAAACUGGGGCUUCCACUUGUAUUAUUUUAGGUUUAGCAAGACCAAUAUUCUCCUUCGUCUUCUCCCCAGUUUGUCCUAUCAAGAUAGGUUCCUGUGUCAAAUCCUAAACAAUUUCUGUAUUAAUGGUCACUUUUUGUUCCAAAUUAGUCACUUUUUGUCCCAAGUUCUCAAGUUUGGUAUUCAUAGCGUCCGUCUUCUUGUGGAGCUGUUCCAACGAAUAGCUUAUCUUUCAUAAUACAGUCACUAAGGCUCCUGUCAACAUUCUCUCCAAGGUCAAACUCUAUUUCACACAGUUCUUAUCUUGCGACUGGAAGAACCCCAGCUCCACUCUUGUAACAGUUUCAAAAGCUCCCUCUAGAGGGAAACAGUCUCCACUUGUAUCAAUCCUUUCAAACACAAUUUAAACUAUAGUUUCUUUUCCUACUUUUUAAACGCAGAUGAGUACAAUGGAAACAAUAUAUUUCUCUUAUUGCUAGCUGUCAAAAAAGUCACUCUUUCUGGCAGCCCAUUUCCAGGUUCAGAGCAGUGGUAAUUUGGUUUUUCACUCUCUCCUGCAGGCUCGCUAGGUCCAAAAUUUCCCCCCUCUUCUCCUGCUUCCAAGGGGGGUUUAAUAGUUUUAACCGAUGGAGAUUUACAAAAAUAAACUUUACAAAAAUAAACUUUCCAAGGCUUUAACUUGCAACUUCUUUGCUUCAAUCUGUUUACAAAAAAGGGAAGGCGGACUUCCUGUUUAGAACCUUCCCGUUUCGAUGCCAAAUUAAUGAAUUUAAGGAUCUAAUUUUCCGUUCUACUCACGGGUCAUUGUUUAAAAUCCAAUUGUCCACAAGAAAAAGUCAGCGCUCUCUGGCAACAGCGAUGCGGCUUCACUCCGUGAAAGAAGCAGUCAAUUUGAAGCACCGCGCCACUCACCCCACUUCGCUCCAGAUCCCCAAAUCAGGGUUUCCCCACGAGUAGGGGAGGCGCAAAGGGUGCCAGCCGAAUCCCAAGUUCACAGGCUUCUCCCGCCUGUGAUUUCAGUGGGUCUCCGCCUUCGCCGUGGCAGUCAGACCCUAAUUUCCACGGAGCAAAUUCCUCCCGAUCGGAGGAACUCCGCCAUUGCCUGGAGGCGCCAACCCGGAAGUUUGGGGUCACACAAGAUAAGGCUGAAUUGACUGAGAAGUUAUUGAAAGCUUAGGAAUCCUGACUGGCCAUUUUCACUCGUAAAUAAGAGGGUGGCUGAAAGUUCCACUAAUGACCAGAUGGGGCACGCAAAAUAAUAACAACCCACAUUUGUGAAACAUUUUGGAAUAGAGAUAUGUACCCCUAUAUCCUGUAGAUAACGAGGCAUGUAGCUCCCAAUUUUCUUUGCCUAGGGGUGCAAAUAGGGCUGUUUAAUGCGGGAAACACGAUCCAUUAACGCUGAGACUUUAUUAGAAAUUUAAUUUGACCAAAAUUGUGUUACUGGCUUUUUGGUGAAAAACUUGCAUGAUAGGGUAGAUAGCUACUGGGUUUCUUGAAUUUCAGAGAGUUGGACUAGGUGACACCAAAGUCCCUUCCAACCCUGCGAAUCUGUGGAUGUAUGGAAGGAAAUGUGUCUGCAAGGAUUGGAGUGGGUAUUUAGGGGUUUCCACCAUUUUGUCAGCCAUUUGUAAGCAAAACUACAAACAUGUAAAGUCCAGCAAACGUUUAAGCACCUACAAAUUCAUAAUUAGUAGGAAUGAGCCUUGACCAUUUUCCCCUGUACAUAAAGGGCAGAAAACUUUGUCUGCUAAUGGUAAGGCUGAAAUAUUUGAAACUCUGGCCAUUUUCACUCAUACAUAAGAAGGUGGCUGAACGUUCCACUAAUGACCAGAGGGGUGUGGUGGGGCUCACAAGAUAAGGCUGAAAUGACUGAGAAGUUAUUGAAAGCUUAGGAAUCCUGACUGGCCAUUUUCACUCGUACAUAAGAGGGUGGCUGAUUGUUCCACUAAUGACCAAAUGGGGCACACAAAAUAAUAACAACCCACAUUUGUGAAACAUUUUGGAAUAGAGAUCUGUACCCCUAUAUCCUGUAGAUAAAGGAGGCAUGUAGCUCCCAAUUUUCUUUGCCUGGGGUGCAAAUAUUUGAAACUCUCUGGCCAUUUUCACUCAUACAUAAGAGGGUGGCUGAACGUUCCACUAAUGACCAGAGGGGUGUGGUGGGGCACACAAGAUAAGGCCGAAUUGACUGAGAAGUUAUUGAAAGCUUAGGAAUCCUGACUGGCCAUUUUCACUCAUACAUAAGAGGGUGGCUGAUUGUUCCACUAAUGACCAGAUGGGGUGUGGUGGGGCUCACCAGAUAAGGCUGAAAUGACUGAGAAGUUAUUGAAAGCUUAGGAAUCCUGACUGGCCAUUUUCACUCGUAAAUAAGAGGGUGGCUGAACGUUCCACUAAUGACCAGAUGGGGCACGCAAAAUAAUAACAACCCACAUUUGUGAAACAUUUUGGAAUAGAGAUCUGUACCUCUAUAUCCUGUAGAUAAAGGAGGCAUGUAGCUCCCAAUUUUCUUUGCCUGGGGUGCAAAUAUUUGAAACUCUCUGGCCAUUUUCACUCAUACAUAAGAGGGUGGCUGAACGUUCCACUAAUGACCGGCGAGGUGUGGUGGGGCACACAAGAUAAGGCAGAAUUGACUGAGAAGUUAUUGAAAGCUUAGGAAUCCUGACUGGUCAUUUUCACUCGUAAAUAAGAGGGUGGCUGAACGUUCCACUAAUGACCAGGGGGGUUGGUGGGGUGGCUCACAAGAUAAGGCUGAAAUGACUGAGAAGUUAUUGAAAGCUUAGGAAUCCUGACUGGCCAUUUUCACUCGUAAAUAAGAGGGUGGCUGAACGUUCCACUAAUGACCAGAUGGGGCACGCAAAAUAAUAACAACCCACAUUUGUGAAACAUUUUGGAAUAGAGAUCUGUACCCCUAUAUCCUGUAGAUAAAGGAGGCAUGUAGCUCCCAAUUUUCUUUGCCUGGGGUGCAAAUAGGGCUGUUUAAUGCGGGAAACACGAUCCAUUAACGCUGAGACUUUAUUAGAAAUUUAAUUUGACCAAAAUUGUGUUACUGGCUUUUUGGUGAAAAACUUGCAUGAUAGGGUAGAUAGCUACUGGUUUUCUUGAAUUUCAGAGAGUUGGACUAGGUGACACCAAAGUCCCUUCCAACCCUGCGAAUAUGUGGAUGUAUGGAAGGAAAUGUGUCUGCAAGGAUUGGAGUGGGUAUUUAGGGGUUUCCACCAUUUUGUC